UAGGGAAUCUUCCACAAUGGACGCAAGUCUGAUGGAGCAACGCCGCGUGAGUGAAGAAGGUUUUCGGACCGUAAAGCUCUGUUGUUGGUGAAGAAGGAUAGAGGUAGUAACUGGCCCUUUAUUUGACGGUAAUCAACCAGAAAGUCACGGCUAACUACGUGCCAGCAGCCGCGGUAAUCGUAGGUGGCAAGCGUUGUCCGGAUUUAUUGGGCGUAAAGCGAGCGCAGGCGGAAGAAUAAGUCUGAUGUGAAAGCCCUCGGCUUAACCGAGGAAUUGCAUCGGAAACUGUUUUCUUGAGUGCAGAAGAGGAGAGUAGAACUCCAUGUGUAGCGGUGGAAUGCGUAGAUAUAUGGAAGAAUACCAGUGGCGAAGGCGGCUCUCUGGUCUGCAACUGACGCUGAGGCUCGAAAGCAUGGGUAGCGAACAGGAUUAGAUACCCUUGGUAGUCCA
rnacentral:rRNA from 1 species